UGCAAGUAGUGAAAUAUCUUAUGCUUCUGAUGCGAUGCCAGAUACCUUAGAUUUCAUGCAGUCAGUGUCACACUCUGACGAAGAAAGGAUGAGUGAUCAUAACUCUUUGCAUGACAUUAGCAAACCAGAGAACGUUGCAGGAAGCUAGUUCAACAAAUGAUGUAACAAGUGACGUUACUCCUAGACUCCUAGAAAUGCGGGAAAGAAGCUUGUUCACCAUGUAGCAAGUGUUUUUACUCAUUUUGUACACAAAUUGUUAGCGUUUUUAUGUUUCUUAUUCUCUGGACUGGGAAGAUUCCUGGUAGCACAAGAUUCGAAACAACAAACAGAAAACCAGUCGAAUUGCCAGAUGACAGGUUCAGGGUUUAUAGAAAAUGGAAUUUUGACAGAAGCUGAAAGUGACUUACUCCAUCCGUGUUGCAGAGGCUACAAAAUUUAGAAACUUUGGUAACUGAGCUUUACAACAAACCUGCAACCAUUCCUCCUGAAAAGAAAUGACUUGCUUCUCGAGUCAUUAAAUCGUAUUAGAUCCAUUGAACAAGAUUUACAGAAAACAAAGAAAGCAUUAUUUACAACU